UACGGGGGGGGCAAGCGUUGUUCGGAAUUACUGGGCGUAAAGGGCGCGUAGGCGGUUCGAUAAGUCAGCUGUGAAAACCAUGGGCUUAACUCAUGGCCUGCAGUUGAGACUGUCGGGCUGGAGUGUGGGAGAGGAGAGUGGAAUUCCUGGUGUAGCGGUGAAAUGCGUAGAUAUCAGGAGGAACACCGGUGGCGAAGGCGGCUCUCUGGGACGGUACUGACGCUGAGACGCGAAAGCGUGGGGAGCGAACAGG
rnacentral:rRNA from 1 species